CUCACAGCAAUAACCCUCCUGUGGAGGAGAUCUACCAUGCAGCCGGCAGGACACACAACGUGAUUCCGGAGAAGGGAGGCACUUUGAAAGGCACUUAAAAUGACACAACAACCCUGUGUUCGGUUUCAAAAGCUCUCGCCCGAAAUGAAACCUCAGAACAUAUUUCAAUGUAAAUACAUAACAGCAUCAGAGUGUAUACUUCAGUGGACAAAACAAUACGAUCCAUUCAGAGCAGGAGGCUCUACUGUCUGAAUAGUAUUUUGGGGGCUGGAGAGGCUGCCAUGGAGCCAAGGAAGUCCACUUCUACUAGCCUAGCUGCAUGUGAUAGUGUUCAAUCCUCCUGCAGCACUGGAAACCUUUGGACCAUGAGAUGUUUGAACUCCGGCUUCUACUGUUUCUUACCACUGCUGUGCUGGCCAUGGAGUCUGGGAACUGUUGUUUAAAAUAUCUCAAGGGCCAUGACUUCCCCAGCCCUCUUAAGUAGUUGUGAUCUUCACUAACAAGUGUUUGAAUGGCACAAUCUCUCUUUGGGCACCAUUAUCUUCAUCAGGAUCGGCACCACCUUGUAUGGACAUAAAUCCAUUAAACCAAAGAAAUAAAAAAAUAAUCACUAAAACUCACUAGAAGGAUA